rnacentral:misc_RNA from 1 species
UCCGGUUUGUCACCGGCAGUCUCAUUAGAGUGCCCAACUAAAUGCAGCAACUAAUGACAAGGGUUGCGCUCGUUGCGGGACUUAACCCAACAUCUCACGACACGAGCUGACGACAACCAUGCACCACCUGUCUUCCUGUUCCCGAAGGAACUUCCCCGGUUAAGGGUAAUGCAGGAGAUGUCAAGUCUAGGUAAGGUUCUUCGCGUUGCUUCGAAUUAAACCACAUGCUCCGCUGCAUGUGCGGGCCCCCGUCAAUUCCUUUGAGUUUUAAUCUUGCGACCGUACUCCCCAGGCGGAAUACUUAAUGCGUUAGCGGCGGCACAGAGGUCAUGACAACCCCUACACCUAGUAUUCAUCGUUUACGGCGUGGACUAC